UACGUAGGUGACAAGCGUUGUCCGGAUUUACUGGGCGUAAAGAGCGCGCAGGCGGUCGUUCAAGUCGAGUGUGAAAGCCCCCGGCUCAACUGGGGAGGGUCACUCGAUACUGAUCGACUCGAAGGCGGGAGAGGGAAGUGGAAUUCCCGGUGUAGUGGUGAAAUGCGUAGAUAUCGGGAGGAACACCAGUGGCGAAGGCGACUUCCUGGCCUGUUCUUGACGCUGAGGCGCGAAAGCUAGGGUAGCAAACGGG
rnacentral:rRNA from 1 species